rnacentral:rRNA from 1 species
CGUGAGAUGUUGGGUUAAGUCCGUAACGAGCGCAACCCUUGUCCUUAGUUACCAGCACGUUAUGGUGGGCACUCUAAGGAGACUGCCGGUGGACAAACCGGAGGAAGGUGGGGAGUGACGUCAAGUCAUCAUGGCCCUUACGGCCUGGGCUACACACGUGCUACAAUGGUCGGUACAAAGGGUUGCCAAGCCGCGAGGUGGAGCUAAUCCCAUAAAACCGAUCGUAGUCCGGAUCGCAGUCUGCAACUCGACUGCGUGAAGUCGGAAUCGCUAGUAAUCGUGAAUCAGAAUGUCACGGUGAAUACGUUCCCGGGCCUU